ensembl:lncRNA
UGCUAGUGGAUCCAAGCCCCGGGGAGAACUUCGGCCAUCCUGUGGUUCUGUUUUACGUGGACAUGAACGUGACCAAGAAACGCUGUUCGCUCAUGGAGGGCCUUUACUUCGGGGAGGAGUGUUUGACUCUGGCAUUGAAGGGUCGCUGUCAGAACCAGUUGAAGCGUCGUUCGUCCACGUCCCAGCGGUUGCUUAGAAACCUUGAGCGGAGGGCAGGGCCAUGUGAGGUCACCUUCCUUCCCCUAGUGGUUGGACUGAGAGACAGCAACAAAACACAGAGACUCAGGUGUAUCGCAUCCAAUGUCUGUCCAGGAGGCUGGCAGCAGCAGAUCCUGUUCCAGCACCAGCUGCAGUCCCUCCAGAAGUUCUACGGGAUGCUGAGGGAUAACGGCUUCCACCAGGACCACAUCAAGACCUUCUUCUCUGGCCCCGGACACACUCCUGAGGGCAUGCAGGGCGCUCUCCCAGCGGUAGAGAAGGCUGUGAUUCGUCAGUACGUGUCCUAUGUGUGUAGGAAGCAUCACUGUGUGGACUCUCUGGUCCUCUUCCUCAACUCCCCAACGUGUACUGACGGCUCCAUGCUGCUCUGGGACCACAACCUCAACGGCAUAGCAGAGCUGAAGGAGCGCUACUCGGUGAACGAACUGCUGGUAGACCUGGCGGGCUGCAGGGCAAGCCGGGUCCUGGUGUUCGUGGAGCAAAGCUACAGCUCCGUCCUCUCCAAGAGGCUGCGCAGCUCCUCCAAACACCUCAACGUGGUCCCAAUCAUCAGCCCCGCCCAACAGUACCCUGACCCAGGAGAGGGGUCCUGGAAACACCUGACCCCAAGAACCUGCCUCAUAGAUCACCUGGGAAAGGGUCAAGAGAAGUCCGGCCUGCUCUCUCUGUGGGCAGGGCUACUGAAUGUGACGCUGGCGGGCGCACCCUGCAAGGCCACGCCCCCUCUAACCGACGCCCAGCUGCAGAGGGAAUACCUGGGCUGUCAGAACCUGCCCACUGCGCUCUGGUACCAUCACCGGACCUGAGAGGGGGAGGGAGAGAGAGAGGG